AUCGCCGCUGCUAAGCUAUCCCUCGCUGCUAAUCUAUCGCCGCUGCCAACCUAUCUAUUGCUGCAAGCUAUCCCUCGCUGCUAAGCUAUCGCUGCCAACCUCUCUAUUGCUGCAAGCUAUCCCUCGCUGCUAAGCUAUCGCUGCCAACCUAUCUAUCGCUGCCAACCUAUCUAUCGCUGCCAAUUUAUCUACCACUGCCAAUCUAUCUAUUGCUGCUAAUCUAUCGCUGCCAACCUAUCUAUCGCUGCCAAUUUAUCUACCACUGCCAAUCUAUCUAUCGCUGCUAAUCUAUCGCUGCUAAUCUAUCGCUGCUAAUCUAUCGCUGCUAAUCUAUCGCUGCCAACCUAUCUACCGCGGCGAAUCUAUCUAUCACUAUCAUUACUAGUUCAAAAUAGAACUAGAGCAUAAAUACACUAAACUUCUUUUGAUAGGUAAUGAUUUUUGGUAACGCUCAUAGCAUUAUAUCAUCUAUAUAGGGU
rnacentral:sRNA from 1 species